UACGAAGGGGGCUAGCGUUGUUCGGAAUUACUGGGCGGAAAGCGCACGUAGGCGGACAUUUAAGUCAGGGGUGAAAUCCCGGAGCUCAACUCCGGAACUGCCUUUGAUACUGGGUGUCUUGAGUGUGGAAGAGGUGAGUGGAAUUCCGAGUGUAGAGGUGAAAUUCGUAGAUAUUGGGAGGAACACCAGUGGCGAAGGCGGCUCACUGGACCGGAACUGACGCUGAGGCGCGAAAGCGUGGGGAGCAAACAGG
rnacentral:rRNA from 1 species